rnacentral:rRNA from 1 species
GAUGAACGCUGGCGGCGUGCCUAAUACAUGCAAGUCGAGCGAACAGACGAGGAGCUUGCUCCUCCGACGUUAGCGGCGGACGGGUGAGUAACACGUGGAUAACCUACCUAUAAGACUGGGAUAACUUCGGGAAACCGGAGCUAAUACCGGAUAAUAUAUUGAACCGCAUGGUUCAAUAGUGAAAGACGGUUUUGCUGUCACUUAUAGAUGGAUCCGCGCCGCAUUAGCUAGUUGGUAAGGUAACGGCUUACCAAGGCAACGAUGCGUAGCCGACCUGAGAGGGUGAUCGGCCACACUGGAACUGAGGCACGGUCCAGACUCCUACGGGAGGCAGCAGUAGGGAAUCUUCCGCAAUGGGCGAAAGCCUGACGGAGCAACGCCGCGUGAGUGAUGAAGGUCUUCGGAUCGUAAAACUCUGUUAUUAGGGAAGAACAAAUGUGUAAGUAACUAUGCACGUCUUGACGGUACCUAAUCAGAAAGCCACGGCUAACUACGUG